rnacentral:rRNA from 1 species
UACGUAGGGGGCAAGCGUUGUCCGGAAUUAUUGGGCGUAAAGAGCGUGUAGGCGGUCCGGUAAGUCGGCUGUGAAAGCCCAGGGCUCAACCCUGGGAUGCCGGUCGAUACUGCCGGACUAGAGUUCGGAAGAGGCGAGUGGAAUUCCCGGUGUAGCGGUGAAAUGCGCAGAUAUCGGGAGGAACACCUAUGGCGAAGGCAGCUCGCUGGGACGUUACUGACACUGAGGCGCGAAAGCGUGGGGAGCGAACAGG